rnacentral:rRNA from 1 species
UAACACGUGAGCAACCUGCCUUUCCAGUGGGGGACAACAUUUGGAAACGAAUGCUAAUACCGCAUAAGACCACAGUGUCGCAUGGCACAGGGGUCAAAGGAUUUAUCCGCUGAAAGAUGGGCUCGCGUCCGAUUAGCUAGAUGGUGAGGUAACGGCCCACCAUGGCGACGAUCGGUAGCCGGACUGAGAGGUUGAACGGCCACAUUGGGACUGAGACACGGCCCAG